rnacentral:rRNA from 1 species
GGACUACUCGGGUAUCUAAUCCCUAUCACUACCCUUGCCUUCGUACCUCAGCGUCAGUUUUCUAUAGUAACAUGCUUUCGCCGCUUCGUAAUUCCCUGAGUUUCAUAGCAUUGUUACUCUCUUCUCAAAGUCUUUGUUACUCCUAUUGACUCUAGUAUAUUAAUAUCUACCCCACUUCUUAGGUGUAAAAAAUAGAUUAGUUAUACCGCCUACUUACCCUUUAGACCCAUUAAUGACGAAUAACGCUUGCCUCUCACGUAUUACCGCGGCGGCUGGCAC